UUCAAUGAUGUGUGCUGGGCAAGCUCAGAAAUGCCAUGAACUUUAGUUGUGUGGGAGCUUGGCCAAAUCAACAGAAUGUGCUGCUCGUUUCCAAAGUUCAUUUAAUGUCUAAAACUUUGUUGGUUAAUACCUCCCUCUCAUCCAGAACGAUUCUGUUUUAAAGAGAUUGAGUCUCGGCGUCCUGGCAGCCCUGAGGAGCAGCUCUGUGGCAGCCCCGCUGAGUCCAGAGAGAGCUCAGUUCAGCAAGGCACAAGCAGAACCUACACAAUUAAUUUGCCUCUUACAGAGCUUUCGCCAUCACCAUGCAGUGGACUGGAUUCCUGGAAAGGGGUAUUGGCCGAAGUUAAUAAGGAACAAGAUGUUGAAAUGUGAAUUAUCCCCUGAAAGUUUUUCUAGAAAUAAGUAAAUGCAACAGUCCACAGAUGAUGCUUUUUCCUUUUCUUUAUAGCUAGACACCUCAUAAAAAAUGGAUUUUUUUGAGUAAGUUCCUAAGACAAAGUAUCUUUUCUUGCACAAGCGAAAGCAGGAGAUUAUCUCUUACCUGUAGCUAUAAUCAGGAUAAUAUUACAAAUCUGUUUUUCCCCUACAAUCCUAUUUCUUUUUGCUAAAGUAAUUAAUUUUUUUUGUGGCAUCACAUACUUCAAGGAGAAAACACAAGAUGACUGCUACAGCAGAGCAGCAAAGAGGGGAUUUUUUUCUUUCUUGUUCUGCAAUAUUCAACAGAAAAUGCUUUAGGGGUUAGUCAUCUUUCUUUAAACCCGUGGCAGUUACGAAGUGUUUUGCCAGCCCUUCUUCAGCGUCUGGUCACGAACAGACAACAGCAGAAGUUCUGGCAGCCCUGCAGCCCCUUUGCACCAGUACAGCUGAAGCAAGGACAAUAUGGGCAAGCUGCAAACCUCUCCCAAAAAACAGCAAGGUGUUUGUGCAGAAGUCUAGAUGUGUGCUGUCUCCAGUGAGGGACCUGGGUGCAUGAGGUUACACAGGGAUUAUCCUAAAGCUGCUGCCUCCUGUCUUGUAAUCUAGUGAUUUCCCACCCCAGCACAGCCAUUUAUUACACUGCUUGCGACCAAGGAGUCGGCAUGUCUUUGGCCAAAUUAUACAUGGGUGAAGCCAGUGAGACCAUAGGAACAGGGAGAUGGAGCCCUGGAAUCUGCCUUGCUCCAGAAAGCUGAGAGCUCUACAGGCUAUGACCACCACAUCUAACCCUUGGUGAAAUGAGUGUUAAGUCCGCUGAAGAGUAACAGAAAUGGAAAUAAACAGAGGGGAAAAAAAAAA